AUGGCAAUACCGGUUGGUUUGCAGGAGCGCUGGAACCGUGACUGUGUAUUUGAUGUUAAAGACGUCAGCUUGGAGCCAUGCCUUUCUGAUCGCAUGGCUAUGCUGAGCAGCAAGACCAUGAAGGAACUUCAAGUGGGAGACCCCAUCCUAAGCAUGGAUGAUGACGUCGUUUACUUGCUUUCUGAAACCACACCCAAGCACAUGGACAAGUUAGCACUGAUGUUUGCUAUUGAUGUGAGGAAGUCAACACUGCGAGGAUUGGCUGAGCUUGAUGUCAAGAAGUUCAAUUACUUGUCCAGCUUCUGCACUAGUGACAUCUGCAGGGGUACCUGA
rnacentral:rRNA from 1 species